rnacentral:rRNA from 1 species
UGGGGAAUAUUGGACAAUGGGGGCAACCCUGAUCCAGCAAUUCUGUGUGCACGAAGAAGGUUUUCGGAUUGUAAAGUGCUUUCAGCAGGGAAGAAAAAAAUGACGGUACCUGCAGAAGAAGCGACGGCUAAAUACGUGCCAGCAGCCGCGGUAAUACGUAUGUCGCAAGCGUUAUCCGGAAUUAUUGGGCAUAAAGGGCAUCUAGGCGGCCAGAUAAGUCUGGGGUGAAAACUUGCGGCUCAACCGCAA